GAGCUCAUGAGGCAGCGACCGGUCGGGAAAUACAGGCGGGUAGAGGAGCGGAAGGACGGCGAAGACUGCUGGGCUCGGUCCAGAAGGCUGUUGGGAUUUCAGCCAGCUUCCUACAGAAUCUCCUCCCAAUAUCCGUUAGCCCAUCUCCCUGGCUGAGAGCUGGCACCAUGUCUUGGCCUUGCUGUCUUCAUGCCCACCAGCCUUUGCUGCCAGGCACAAACACACUGAACCUACAUUCCAGCCUUCCCAUGGCAGGAUAUGGCCAACCGUCCCAUGUUGCCAUUCAGCUGCAGAACUGCGCAGAGCCUGGAAGAUGCCUCUGAGAUGUCUUCUGCCCAGACAAUGCAGGUUCAUGAAGAAACACCUUCUUAUAUACAAACAUCUUCUGCAGUUCUUUAUCUGCUCUUCUUCGUUCACGUUGCAGUGCUUUUUACCUCCUCUACUGCAAGAAAGACAUUGAGGCCCUGGAAUGUGUCCAGAGAAAGGCAACGAAACUGGUGAGGGGUCUGGAGCAUAGAUCUUAUGAGGAGCACCUGAGGGAACUGGGAUUUCUUAGUCUGGAGAAGAGAAGGCUCAGAGGAGAACUUAUUACACUUUACAACUUCCUGAAGGGAAGUUGUGAUGAGGAGCGUUUCAGCCUCUUCUCCCAGGCAACAAACAGGACCCGAGGAAACAACCCGAGGCCACAAGUUGUACCAGAGGAGAUUUAGAUUAGACAUAAGGAAAAACUUUUUCUCUCAGAGAGUGGUCAGGCGCUGGAAUGGCCUGCCCAGGGAGGUGGUGGAGUCGCCAUCCCUGGCAGAGUUCAAGAGGCGUCUGGAUGAGGAGCUACGAGAUAUGGUUUAGUAGCUUGUGGUAGCAAGGGUAAUGGGAGGACGAUUGGACUAGAUGAUCUAUAGGUCCUUUCCAACCUUGUGAUUCUAUGAUUCACUGGUGCCAUGAGGAGUUACCAGCUUCAUUUCUGCUAAUAAACAAACAAAACAUCACUUUCCCCUAAACAACGCUCCGAAGAGAUGCUUUUGUUAUUCCUUUAGCAGACAUUGUAGGGAAGACUGAAGAUAAAUGUAUUGAUAUCUUUGGAUAAAAUCUGAUGAAUCUUCCCAUGUACUCCUUUUCACUUGAGUAGGGGAGAAGUUUUUUUUGUCAAAUAACCUAUUACCAGCAUCAGUUUAAGACAGAUGUUUAAAUACUGGAGACAUUUCAGAGACAAGCUGCAAAAAUGAUCAAAUUUAGGAAAGAGCAUCUCCCAGUGAGAGACUCCAGGAGUCCAAAUCUAUCCAGUUUAAAAGUGCUUAAGCAGCACCAAGUCCCAAAAUGUGAAAAGAAAGGUAAGAAUCAGUAGAGGACAAAACAUACAGACAUAGCAUGUCCAAAAUGUUAUCUGUGGAACAAAAAGAGUUUGUUCACGUGCACCUGGGGAUGCCUCACACUUACUGGGUGCACGAAGAACUGUACAGUGUGUGUACAGACAGUUCCUGGGACAUUGCACUGGGCGGGCUGAUGCAGAACAAGAAGGCAUUACAAGAAAACGAGGCAUUCACUGAAAGCACCAGGCUUACAGUGUGGUGCACACAGCUACCAACUGUGCAUAUGUGCCACAAUUGUCCUGAGCUUUUUCAGGCAUACAGAAAGAAAACUGGCCAGAGCUGCUGUACAACUCAGGUUAUGCAGUUAUCUGAAGGGCCAGCAGCAUAGAUCUGCGAUGUGUAAGGAGCUACAACUGAGAAGACAGUUCUAUAUGGAGUCAUCCAAAGAAAAGGGGCUUUUUUUUCCAAGAACUGUUCUCUGAUGCUACACAGCUAGCACUGGUUGGUGGAACAAACCAGUAUCUGUCAGUACCACCAAACUUCUGCCUUAAGUCUGCAGCUAUGGUUCCCUUAAGUGAUAUUUCUCUUCAGGGUGUGAGAUUUCCCUCUGACAUCUGGAAGAUGAGCAUUCACAAUUGCUGUUGAUAAACCAGUUGUUCUGACAGUAGCACGCAUCAUGCAGGAGUGAUACCUCCUGUUGUAGUGUAUCUCGAAAUAGCACAUACCCAUGUGGGCUGCUGGUAGGAUUCAUGCACCCAACAUAUUGGGUUUAUUCACACACAAAAAAAUACUUCACUGUUGUUUGCCAGUUACAGUGAAGUCCAUACAUACAGUAAGACUGGUUUAUCAUUCUUCACAGGGAAAAGCAGUUUGUUUUCUGCUUCUCUCUGUUGCCAGUCCUUUUAAUACUUUACUAGAAGAGAAAAAUGGCUGACCUUUGCACUAGGAGCUUGUACUAAUGGAAAAAUAAAGAAAUUUGAGGUUGAGGCUGAUAGAUUCAUUUAGCCUGUUGUGGGUGAGCAAGAUGUGUAGAAGGAAGAUGUCCCCUCUGUGAAAGGCUGUAAUUGAUGGGGGUGUUCCACAACAGAAGACCUUAUGCCUUCAUUGCCGACAGAGCUGUCAGGCUCUCUGUGGUGUCCAUCACAUCCAUCAGACAGAUACCUGUUGGAUUAACUCAUCCUGCUCUGAGCAGCCUGUAAUGAAAACACAGCACAAGAUUAUCAUCCUUGCCUGAAUGUGAAGGUACUCUCAAUGGUUCCGCAGCCUCUCCCAGGCCUGAAGAUGUGUGACCACUACACCAACAUAACCAAGCGUUCAGUCUCUUCAGUGAUUGCUGACAGUGAACUGGAAUUCUUUACCUGAAAUUUAUCGAGGAAUGGCAGAUGGACACUGCUUUUACAACUUUCUGGCAUGACCAAUUUCUGAGUGUUUUUACAUUCAGAUGAAGAAUUCAGCUGCUUUGUUCUUUGAUGCCAAUUACUCUGCCCCAAGUUAAAUGGCACUAGGUGAAGACUGUUGAGAUCCAGCUAUCUGUUUGUGCUACCUAUCUGUAAGCACUCUGGAAAUCACAUGGAAGCAAGGAGACAGCUAGAAAUACCAAGAAUUAUGAAACUCGUUGAAUUUGGUGUAACAACAACAACAAAAACCCAACAAAUUCUGUCCAUCCAAUCAUUGGAUUUUUGUGUGUAAAAAAAAAUAUCAGCCUCUGAAGAAAAAAGUUUGAAACCAAAAGUUGUUCAUUCUGUGGCUUACAAAUAAAAGUUGCAUUAUAUAAAGACUGGCUAACAAA
ensembl:lncRNA